ACACCUCAACUCCCAUGGUUCGCCAUGGUGAGCUUGGACUUUGGGGGUUUUGCUGGCCCACGGUCGGCUCCUCUCAAAUGAAUUAGCCUGCCAGUGUUUGGUGGCAUCACGGGUGUGAUAAAUAUCUACGCUUGCGAUUGUCCACCAGGUAACCUUCAGCAAUGGGGGUUCGCUGGGGCUCACAGAUGUCUCUCCCUCAGCGAGGACAGUUUUUUUAACGU
rnacentral:misc_RNA from 1 species